UACGGAGGGAGCUAGCGUUGUUCGGAAUUACUGGGCGUAAAGCGCGCGUAGGCGGCUUUGUAAGUUAGAGGUGAAAGCCCGGAGCUCAACUCCGGAACUGCCUUUAAGACUGCAUCGCUUGAAUCCGGGAGAGGUGAGUGGAACUGCGAGUGUAGAGGUGAAAUUCGUAGAUAUUCGCAAGAACACCAGUGGCGAAGGCGGCUCACUGGCCCGAUACUGACGCUGAGGCACGAAAGCGUGGGGAGCAAACAGG
rnacentral:rRNA from 1 species